UACUUCAUUGGUUUAUAUACUGUACUUUAGUGUAAAGUUUAACAUUGAAAUCAAAUAAUACCAAUAUUACCAUUAAAGUUUACGCGUCAUGAACUUUAACAUAAACAUAUAGCUUAGGUACAUGUGUGCAGUCUUAUUAAAACGAUUUAUGUGACGCUUUAAAAAUUUAAAGAAUUCAUUACCUGAGAGUGCAUUUAACAGUUGAUUUCUGGAGUACUGCUAACACAACGGAGGAAAUAACACAAGGGUGAACUCUUUGCUAACAGCUCAAGAGAAAUGGAAGCCAGUAUAGUAAUGAUAUACAUUUCCUCUCUCCUUGCUGUCGGUUACGUAAGCUAUAUGCAUAACACUUUGAUGCAGACGAAAAACACAGACGCGCUCGUGACAAGCACGUGCCCUGCAGAAAUGGAACAGAAAAUUCAUGUUUUAGAAAUUCAGGUUCAGCAGCUCCAGAAACUUCUGCAAGAACAAAACACUUCUCCGUUUACAACCAUUGAAGGAUUCCCUAAAGACUGUUUGGAAUUAUUUAAAAAUGGUACAAGAACAGACGGAGUUUAUUCUAUCUCACCAGAAGGAAGAUGUCCUUUCUUUGUAUAUUGCGACAUGACAAACGGGGGUUGGACUUUGAUCCAGAAUAGGAUUGACGAUAAAGUAAACUUUUAUCGGCCAUGGAAUGAUUACGUUAGUGGGUUUGGUGAUAUCGAUGGCUCUCACUGGUUAGGUUUGGAGAAAAUUCACCGUCUAACUCGAGAAGGCAGUCAAGAUACAUUUUGACAUAGAAAAUUAUGAUGGGACAAAAGAUUAUGCGCAUUACCAAGUGUUUACCGUUCAAGGAGCGGCAACUGCUUACACUAUGAACGUAGAUGCCUUUAAUUAUGAGGGUAGUAUUGACGAACUACUGAGUUUCCAUAACAAUAUGAAAUUCUCAACGUAUGACAGAGAUAAUGACGCACUUUCAUCAGGUAAUUGUUGUCUCAAGUAUUUAGACGGGGGAGGAUGGUGGUACAAAGACUGUUAUAGGUUGGGAAACAUGAAUGGAGUGUUCGGUAAAACGCCGCAAGGUGGUAUCGGCUACUGGACCACAAAGAAUAUUCCGAUUAAAAAGGUUACAAUUAAGCUGAAAAACAUACAUGGUCAGUGUUUAACUCAGAAGUGACAAUGCACAUCCAACAAUGCCAUUUUCACUUUUCCUUUAACGGUUAGAUACUUUUUAACGGAACAGUGCUGCUUUAGACUUUACUCUUAAAUGUGAAGUCGAGUGUAUGUUUAUUGAAUAACGAAAUUUUAUUCGCUAACAUUUUUUAACGUAAAUGUCAUGUUCAUUCUUAUUAAGACAGUAUAUACAAUCAAACCUGUCUCUAAAGACAACUCAUUGAAAAUGAAACAAGUCAUUUUUGUUGACAAAUGGUCCUUUAUGGACGGACGUAACUUAACACCUUUUGUGGUUUAACGGGAAGUGAAAAUAGUGGAGCGUAAAUGUAGGUUUUAUGGUAAUGGCUUCUAUGGCUAGCAUGCACUUUACUGGUACGCACUUCUUGCUAGGAUUGUAAAAGGCAGGGUGUGCUCGUUGCAAUAAUUUAAAUGGAUUGUAACAAUAAUCUAUUCAUUAAAGAAAAAACGGGGGUGUGGGGGCGGUAGACCCCGUAAGAAUAAAUGUGGAGUAUUUAUUGAAUGUGCGUACCGGUAAAGUGCAGGUGUCCCGGUUCUAUUAUUCAGAUGGAUCUUUACAACAAGCUUCUAAAUCUGUGAAUUUCAAUCAGGGCUGUUAUAUUUCGAUAUUCUCAGAUCGUUCAGCACGACUUUUAUGUCGUGUUAUUGGUACUGUUUAGUUUUUCAGCAUGACCAUUUCAGCUUGGGUGUUUCCAGUACUCCCGCUUUAAUAGCCUAGGGUAUUGUAUAUUUACACCUUGGAUAUGGUGCCUGCAUUUUAAUUUUGUCUUUUGACACUUCCUACGAUAUGGAGGCUCCAAAACCUCAGAUCCCCUUUCUACAUUCCAGGUUGUUUAGUUAUGCCCAUUGUUUUCUCGUUUGGGGCAAACCCAUUACUUAUCUGGGGACCAAACGCCGCUUUUCAUGAAAUUAAACGCCACAACCCGUGUAUCAUUGAAGUUUCCAUGUUCACCGCUGUUUGAAUUCAUCUGCGGAUGUCUCUAAAUUGCUUUUUGUACUUUUAGCAUGUGUAAAUGUUGAGUUCUGCUCAACCAGGGGCUAGAGGGCGGGGACGGUAGCAUGCAUUUCCACUACCGUCCAUGAACAGGCUCAAUUAAACCGAGCCUGCAACAUUUUCGUUUUGUCGUGUUGAGCGACCUGUGAAGUUUCUACUUUUUCUAUUUUAAAGAAUUAUUUUUAGAAUUAAACUUCUAAACGAUAAAACAAGCUUACGGCUACAAGUAGGUCACUAAAGAGAAAAAAUGUCUAGUCAGUGGUCAAUUCAUUAUUUCUGAACAAGUCUCACAGCUAGGGGCAACCCUCUUUAUCCUUUCGCUUUAUCAAAUUUCAUACACUUAUCACUGUUAGGGUACCGUAUCACUUAUUUUUCCUAACAUAUAUCCGUCUCCAUAUUUGUCGAACUGACAAAUGAACUUAAUGAAGUCAUUGUAUAAGGAACAUCAUGACAUCUCAAUAUCUACAUAGAUCGAUUCUUGGAAAGUUGUUUACACAAGCGGCAAUAUACUUCUUUUGUUGUUCUGGUUAAUGCCAAAUUUAAGACAUUUGUUUUUGAUGAAGUAGAUGCAAAAGUAUCAAUAGGCUUUGUUAUUCUUGUAACAGUGUCAAUUAAAUGAUUUAAGUCUCUCUGACUGAGUCUGGAAGUGAAAUUGUCAGCGCUUUGGAAUGUAGCUGUUUGAGUCAAACAUUUAAAAAUGUGGAAAUAAAGCAAAUUCUGAUUUGUCUCUUUUAUUUCUACGCAGAUAGAUUUUUUUAAUUGUUACUCUUUUAAACAAGUAAGACAGAAGUAAACAUAUAUUUUCUAAUUUGAAUUCAACAUGACUGCCAUAUUGUUCCGUUCACAUGUUUCAGAAUCGGAUGAAUUUUCAAAUCAGCAAAUUUUGAAUUUAUCUAUUUUUGCUUCAGAAAUAAAGGUUUUGCGAAAUAACAGAAGGAAAUAUGUUUUUGUAGCUGGGUUAUAGAUCUGUUAUAUAUGAUAAAUAGAAUAACAGACUAUUGCCUUUCGAUUUUAAUGUUAUAAGGCUUUGUAGAUAAGGGCGGAUCGGGCUCAGUGUAGAGCCUUUAUCAGCCUCGACCUGAUAACAUCUAUUAUAAUAUCAAAAGACAGCAGCAAGUUAUUUUCUGUUUAACCUGCAACUACUAUGAAAACUGCACGAUAACACUUGCCUGAUAUUUGUUUUCGUUAUCACGUCAAUAACCUGAUAACAGAAAAUGGUCUCUCCCAUAUUGAAGAACUAUUUUUAACAUCAGAUUCCUUCCAGAUUCAAUUGUAUUACAGAGUUAAGUUUUAAUAUUGCAUUUUCUACACAGAUCCUUUAAUCUCAACUAGUAAUACCCUUUACUAUGGCUGUCUCCACUUCAUUGCACAAACAAUAGUACUUAGUGACGUCAUCGUGUACGUUCGUCAUGAUAUCACAAUGUUUACGCUGAUCAUUUUUAGAAAGGUUCAUUACACACCUGAGACUAUGCUUAUUAUAUAUUCAUGUCUAAUUUAAGAUAUCCCUUUUUGAUAAAGUAGAAGGAAAGUGUUUGUGGUAAUCAUUAUUCUUGGAAAAGUGUAAUUAUAGUGAUUAAAAUUUGAAGUCUCGCUGACUGAGUCUGGAACUUGACGUAGAAUUUGAAUACAGGGGACAUUUCCUAGUAAUUUCCUGAGUCAAAUGUUUAAAAAUGCGGAAAUUAAGAAUGUUUUGAUUUAAUCAAGAGGAUACUUUUUGAUUUGUACGCAGGUAAGUCUUUAUUUUAUUGAUAGUUUUUAUAAGAAUAUCAGAAAGGCAUCUAAAAUCGACUAUCUAAGUUUUAUUUAAUAUGACUGAGUAAUAGACAAAAAUUGAAUUUUUAUAUCAGUGUUAUCAGGCUCGGUAGACAUUGGCAGAAGGGGUCAGGUGAACCUCACCCAUUCCAGCCCAUAUUACUUUGAACUGAUAACAUUGAUAUCAUUAUAUCAAAAAGCAGUAGUCUGAUAUUCUUUAUAGAUCACAUAUGUGAUACAACUGGUCCGAGAGCUCACGGACUUUUAUUGCAACAAUUGAGGCCAAAAGAAGUUUAUACUUUUUGGAAACAAUAUUUCAUAUCCUCCACGAAAACCCUUUUCUUGAGUGUCAAAGCCGUACCUAUCUAUAUUUUUUUCACUUAUGUUUGUGAUAGGGGAGGUAAAACUCACUUGUUAAAAUUUAGGGGGUAGGGUAAAGUUUACGUCUACCAGUUUUUUCACUGUUUAAUUAAAGUAACUAUCUGAUUGUCAGUAAAUGUAUAUAUGUCAACCAAUGUCAGCAAAAAGAAAAUCAUCAAAAAGGAAUGAAGGACAAACUUGAUAUUGAAGGUCAAAGGUCAAAUUUAUGUACAACUCAUAAAAAUUGGCAUAUUUGAAAUUUAGUUUUAUUCUUAAAAUUAGUUUGUUAUCAUAAGUCACUCAGCUUUAUAUAUAAAAUGUGUAUAUAUCAGCCAAUGUCAGAAAUGCAAAUCUUAUUGCAAAACUUCAAGGUCAACCCUGAUAUUUGAAGGUCAAAGUUCAUUUUCAUGCAAAAAUGUGAAAAAUGUUACCUUUACUUUUUCUAACGUUUUUAGUAUAUAUUAAAAUCGUUAGUCACUGAAGUUAAUUCGUUUUAAUGUCUGUAUGUCAGGCAAAGUCAGCAGUCCAAUUGUAACCCCAAAACUGCCAAGGGUAAACGUUUUAUCAAAGGUCAAAGGUCAAAUUUGUGUGAAAAAUUGCAUGAAUAGCUUCCUGUUUGAAAUAUAACAGCUAUUUCUGAUUAUUAUUUGUAAUUGCUCGUGAUUUAGUUUAAUGUAUAUAUGUCCCACAAUGUCAGUAAUAAAGGUAUCGUCUAAAAUCAGACAAGUUCAAAUGUGAUAUUAAGGGUCAAUGGUCAUUUUCAAGGAAAAUAAUGAAAAAAUAGCUUUUUAACUUUCUUCUUGUUUAUAAUAUUUUGUCGAUAUUAAUCAAAGAUAUCAGUUCAUUUUAAUGUAUAAAUAUUAGGCGAUGUCUGGUAUGCACAUAUUAUUUCAAAACAUUCAAGGUCAACCAUAAUAUUAAAGGUCAAAUGUCAAAGAAGUAAGUAAAAUAUUGCAAUAAUUUCACUUGUUUGUAAUAAUGUUUAUUGUUUAAAAGUAUUUGUUUUGUCAUUUUAGUAACUGAUCGUUGUUCAUUUUACUGUAUAUAUGUCAGGCGAUGUCAUUGAAGAG